rnacentral:piRNA from 1 species
UCCCGAUGGCGGUGAGUAAGGUAGUUGGC